rnacentral:rRNA from 1 species
AAACAUGUCUUUUUGAAUUAAAUUUAAAGUCUGACCUGCCCACUGAAUAAUUUUAAAUGGCCGCAGUAUUUUGACUGUGCAAAGGUAGCAUAAUCAUUAGUCUUUUAAUUGGAGGCUGGUAUGAACGGUUGGACGAAGUAUAAGCUGUUUCAUGUAAAUUUAUAAUAGAAUUUUAUAUUUUAGUUAAAAAGCUAAAAUUUUAUUAAAAGACGAGAAGACCCUAUAAAUCUUUAUAUUUAAUAUUAACUAAAUUUUUUUGAUUUAUUUUAUUUUUUUAAUAUUAAUUAUUUUGUUGGGGUGAUAUUAAAAUUUAAUGAACUUUUAAUUUUUUAAAAUCAUUAAUUUAUGAAUUAUUGAUCCAUUAAUAUUGAUUAUAAGAUUAAGUUACUUUAGGGAUAACAGCGUAAUUUUUUUUGAGAGUUCAUAUCGACAAAAAAGUUUGCGACCUCGAUGUUGGAUUAAGGUAUAAUUUUGGGUGUAGCCGUUCAAAAAUUAAGUCUGUUCGACUUUUAAAUCCUUACAUGAUC